AGGUUAGGAAGGAGAAGCUUGGUGAUAGAAUAACAGCCCUUCACCAAUUGGUUUCCCCAUUUGGAAAGACUGACACAGCUUCUGUACUGCUUGAGGCUUUUGGCUAUAUUAGAUUCCUUCAUAGUCAAAUUGAGGCUCUCAGCUCCCUGUACUUGGCAACAGGAUCUGGGAACAUGAAGCAACCUUACCUGGGAGCAUGGGGAAGAUGAAGUUUUUGGAGUAAUGAUAAACUCCUUAUCUAAAUUAACAUAAAAAAUUUGAUGAUGAUUUGAAUAUUUAUAUUAUUUUUUGUAACUGUGAAUAAUGAAUGCUGAAAAU